rnacentral:rRNA from 1 species
UACAGAGGUGGCAAGCGUUGUUCGGAAUUACUGGGCGUAAAGGGCGCGUAGGCGGCUUGGUCAGUCCCGUGUGAAAUCCCUCGGCUCAACUGAGGAACUGCACGGGAAACUGCCUGGCUUGAGUUCGGGAGAGGGAAGCGGAAUUCCAGGUGUAGCGGUGAAAUGCGUAGAUAUCUGGAGGAAUACCGGUGGCGAAGGCGGCAUCCUGGACCGGCAUUGACGCUGAGGAGCGAAAGCUAGGGGAGCAAACGGG